CGCGAAGUAGAGCAGCGGUAGCUCGUCGGGCUCAUAACCCGAAGGUCAGAAGUUCGAUCCUUCUCUUCGCAACAA
rnacentral:tRNA from 1 species